rnacentral:misc_RNA from 1 species
UCAGAAGAAAGGGAUAGAAACAAUUCAAUGUACUAUUACCGGCUUAAGCUCAAGUUUACAACUAAAGUAUUCGGAGUGUUCAAGCAGACUAUUCUAUUCGACUUCGGGACUAAACCACUGCUUUCACAGACCGUGAAUGUUUGUGUUUCUCCGGAAUCAGCAGAGGAUGACCUUCUUUCAGUCCAGGAAUCUAUCCUAAGUGUAUCUGACGUAUGGGAUGAAUCUAACUCUAAUAUCCUGAAGUUUGAACCUGCUCCCCCUAAGGUUCAGCAGGACGAGGAUACACUGCUCAGCCAGUAUCCUAUUCCUCAACCAUCAACCUUUAGCAUUCCUAAGGCGUGUGGGGAUACUGGACUGACCCUGGAGACAUAUCGGCAGAGGUUUCAUGAGCUCCUCUACAUGGAGGAGCUCAGCCAGUACAAGGAGAUCACAGGAUUUAAUGCUCACCUUAAUAUUCAUAUUACAGAGAGGUAUUUGCUAUCUGCUACACCGUCCAAUGCAUCCACUGCCAAGUAUGCUAGACCUGGAGAGUUAUUCGGUAGAAUUGAAUUAAACUCUGAACUCUCAGAAGAUUCUAAGGCUGGAAAACUUAUCCUGACAAAAUGUUCGUCUGUGCUGUUGAGGACGGAUCCUGACUACUCUGCGGAGAAGAAGAAAGGAAAGAAGAAGACAGAGAAGAAGAAGAAAGUAGCCUCUGCCAAUUCUAAAGUUUGGGAAUGUUUGAUAGAAGAUACUGCCAAAUCUGUGAUUUACGUAAGGUUACCUGCUGCACUUGUUCUAGUUUUGAAUCUUGAGACGGAUACGAGGAUUAAAUCUGAGAUUCAGUUUAAACUCAGCAGACUUUCCUUAGUAGAGAUGCAUUAUGCUGUAGAUAGAUUGACCGAUCUAAGAGUAGUAUACCCUGACAUCAGCAUCUCCUUGUCUAUCCCCUGGUCCCCCUCGCACAACUGGAAGGAGACUCUGGACCCUCUCCUCAACGCUAAGCAGAAGGAGGCGGUGCUAGCUAUCACCUCCCCUCCUGCAGUUCACCUGCCCCCUAUUCUAAUAAUUGGACCGUACGGAACUGGAAAAACAUUCACACUCGGCAAAGCUAUUGAUUUGUUACUGAAGGAGACGACAUCAAGAAUCCUGGUUUGUACGCAUAGUAAUAGUGCUGCAGAUCUUUAUAUUAAGGAUUACAUUGAUCCCGCUGUAACAAAAGGAAACUUAUCCAAGAAGAUAUUAAGGAUUUACUACUAUAACAGAUGGGUUCAAACAGUACAUACGACAGUACAGAAAUACUGCUUGAUAGAAACAGACGAGAUGACGUCCACCAGACGAUUCAAGAUACCAACCUUACAGGAUUUGGUAGACUGUGAUCUAGUAGUUGCGACAUUAUCGACUAGCAGAUGUUUGACCCAGCUACUGAAACCCGGUCAUUUCACACAUAUUCUUUUGGAUGAAGCAGCACAGGCUUUAGAAACUGAGGCAAUUCUACCCUUGAUCCUUGCUAAUUCUACGACCAGAGUUGUGCUGGCCGGAGAUCAUAUGCAGCUUGAACCGGAGGUGGUUUCUCCGUUCGCUCUGGAGAAGCAAUUUAAUCUAUCUCUUCUAGAGCGUUUGUAUGAUCUAUAUCCAAGAAACUAUCCGUGUAAAAUUCUCCUCUGCGAAAAUUACAGGAGCCAUCAAGAGAUUGUUUCAUUCACUAGCAAUCUUUUCUAUGAUCAGAAACUUGUGGCGAGUGGAAAGCAACCGCUGCAUCCUAAAUGGUUUCCCUUAACCUUCUUUACUGCUAGAGGAGAGGAUGUUCAGGACGUGAACUCCACCUCCUACUACAACAACUACGAGGUCGGGGAGAUCGUGGAUCGUCUGAUCGAACUGAAGAAGAACUGGCCAAAGGUCUGGGGUAGGAAGGAGGAGGUUGAGAUAGGGGUUGUCACCCCGUACCAUGAUCAGGUUAUGCGGAUCCGAGCCGAGCUACGGAAGAAACGGAUGCACAACAUCUCUGUUGAGCGCGUUCAAAACGUGCAAGGGAAGCAAUACCGCGCAAUAUUUAUCUCCACGGUGCGCACUAGAGAAUCCUGCACCUCACAACCGCCUGAAAGAACAGAUUUCGGGUUCUUGUCUAGCGCUAAACUGUUGAAUACAGCAGUUACUCGGGCUCAGAGCUUAGUAGCAGUUGUAGGAGAUCCUGUAGCCCUUUGCUCAGUGGGAAGAUGCAGGAAGUUAUGGGAGAACUUUUUGGAGAUAUGUUCUAAAAACAAGAGCCUGGUUGGGUACACCUGGAAGGAGUUAAGGCUCAACCUCGAAGCUAUCGAGCUGAAGAAUAUUUACGGGCUCAACCCUAUGGCUAAGGAGUUUAUUCCAAGAGUUUUAUCUGUGAGCCACGAGACUAUACCCGCCUUCCCUGCUACCCAUCCUCCCCCUGUCUCCUGUAUACCACCCUGGUUCAGCAUGACAGGUUUAGGGACCCUACCUAGGGUACCAGGUAUACCUACUCUGGGGCCCUACCACGGGUUAAGUCCACUAAGUUUACUGGGCCCUGGAACUCCCGGGUUCCCUCUGCUCAACCAUCCCUUCUACCCUGGCAUCCUACCUCCGUCCUUUAGCUUACCUAUCUCUGCUCCUCUGUCCUCUGCGUCCUAUCCUCUUAACCCUGUCCUCCAAUCCUACCGUCCUCCAACUAUGGCAGUGUCCACUCCUACGGUCAGAGCAAGGUUUUCUCCUGUUUCUACUCCGGUACAGGUGCAAUCGGAGGCAACUGCGGUGUACAAACCACAAGCUGUAGGAGGCACAAGUAAAGCUGGAGGAGUUGUUACAUCUGCUAAGGAUCGUAUUCUGCCGCCAAGAACAGAUUUAAAAACCAUUCUUUUAUCCAGGGAAGCCCAGAUUGCCUGGUUCAACGCCUUGAAAUCAGUCGGGAAAGAUAUCGAAGCUGCAGCCUUCCAAGAGUUGAUUAUUUCUGAAGGCGGAGAGUUGUUAACGGAAGACGGAGAACACUCCGCCGCGGUUGAGGUGAAGGACGAAGUGGGGCAGAUGGAAACCUUGUCCCUAGGACGGGAGAGUCCGGAGGAUGAAGAGAAGGACGGGAUGAACUCGAUGUUCGAGUCUUUAAUGGCGGACUUUGAUAAACACGAGAAUGAGAAGUUUGAGUAUAAACCGCUUUAUUUAAGGCGUGCUCAACCCUUGGAGGAUUCGUGUGAUAUUUCCUCACCUAGAUCCUCAGAUUCAAACCAUCCGAGUACACAUCCCAACCCGGAGCAACCCAUCCAUCAUGGGAACGGAUUCAAUUAUCAUCCUCAACAUGCUAGCUCGGAACAAAGUAUUCAAAUCUCCGGGAUGAAUGAAAUGGAUUCCUCAAGUCAGAAUUGGCACCUGCAAAUGGAACUUCUGAGACGGAAGAUCUCGUUUGAGGAGCUUCUUGGCCUCGAAAAUGAGAGAGUUAACUCCAACCUAAUGCAGGGGAAUCAUGUGAACCACAUCCUUGAGAAUUCUUUAAUCUUCGAGAACCAAACUCUUUCCGAGAACCAUUGUCACCCUGAGAACCAGAGGUUUGUGGAUCAAUCAAGUUCUCAAGAAAACCAUUUUAAAAACCAAAACGGGCGAACAUCCGGUACGGAUUCCUGGAACCGGUUCAAUCCGGAUCCGGUAGAUCUUGAGACAUAUCCUUCCUUCCCGGAUCCGGAGCGGCGAGUAACAUCAGAUUCGCCUUCGCCACUGCCAACCUACGCCAGGGUAGUGAGAACUUCGCCACGUCAGCCUGAGGAGGAUACACUUACUAAAAUCAGGAAUCUUGGAACCUUUGGAUUCCAGAACCUUGGUUAAGCAUGGAACAACGACAAGUUAAACACGUGUUUUUUUACAAACACAAAGAUAUACGUUUUUUUAAGUAAACAAAAAAAAUAUACCUAAAAAUACUCAAGUGACAAAAAAGAUUUUUUUUAUAUAUGUAAGUUUUAAUAUUAAGCCUAUUAUUAUUGCUUGUAAAUGCACACAAAAAAAACGUACAAAAAAAAAUCUAACCCCCUAGAAUAGAAGUAAUUGGAAUUUGUAAAAUUAUCAUUUUGAUGAAUGCUUACAACUUAUUAAUUGUAACUGUUAUACUAACUUUUGACUCAAUUAAUGAAAUUAUUAACCUUUGAAAAGUAAAGUUAAGUAAUAUAAUGAGAACUACAUUUGCUAAACUUAAUUUCUCAACGUUUAUUUUGCCCGAUUCUUUCAUUUCCAAAUCGGACAGCGUAUGAGUAACUUAGGCAGCUAGACCAGACGAAUGUCAGAGAAAAUCCUGAAUUUUAUUUAAAUUUGAAACAAAGUUGAAUAAAGAAUUGUAUUACCAUGCUUAAGUUACCCUAAGAUUUUAUAAUAAUACCAAAGUAUUAAAUUUAAUUUUAUAUUUCCAUCUUGAUUAAUGUUUUAGUGUUAUACAUAGAUAUAUUUAUUUGACAAAGUAAAAACUUGUAAAAAUUUUGUAAAAUUUGUUAUCGCCAUUUUUAUAAAUAAGUAAACGCAGAGGUUUUUGUCCCGAUCUACAAAGCUUAUAGGACCAAUUCAAUUGUACAUUCAUCCCGGCCCUACCUUCCUUUAUUCAUUCAUUCUAGCCCUACCUACAUUCAUUCAUUCAAGCUCUACCUAUUUUCAUUCAUUCUAGCUCUACCUACCUUCAUUCAUUCUAGCCCUACCUAUCUUCAUCCAUUCUAGCUCUACCUAUCUUCAUUCAUUCCAGCCCUACCUACCUUCAUUCAUUCUAGAUUUACCUACCUUCAUUCAUUCUAGCUCUACAUACCUUCAUUCAUUCUAGCUCUACCUACUCUCAUUCAUCCCAGCUCUACCUACUCUCAUUCAUUCCAGCCCUACCUACCUUCAUUCAUCCCAGCCCUACCUUCCUUCAUUCAUUCUAGCCCUACCUACCUUCGUUCAUUCUAGCUCUACCUAUCUUCAUUCAUUCCAUGCCCUACCUAUCUUCAUUGAUUCUAGCCCUACCUGCCUUCAUUCAUUCUAGCUCUACCUAUCUUCAUCCAUUCUAGCUCUACCUACCUUCAUUCAUUCUAGCUCUACCUACCUUCAUUCAUUCUAGCUCUACCUAUCUUCAUUCAUUCCAGCCCUACCUACCUUCAUUCAUUCUAGAUUUACCUACCUUCAUUCAUUCUAGCUCUACCUACCUUCAUUCAUUCUAGCUCUACCUACUCUCAUUCAUCCCAGCCCUACCUACUCUCAUUCAUUCCAGCCCUACCUACCUUCAUUCAUCCCAGCCCUACCUUCCUUCAUUCAUUCUAGACCUACCUACCUUCGUUCAUUCUAGCUUUACCUAUCUUCAUUCAUUCUAGCUCUACCUACCUUCAUUCAUUUAUUCUAGCUCUACCUAUCUUCAUUCAUUCUGGCUAUACCUUCCUUUAUUCAUUCUAGCUCUGCCUACCAUCAUUCAUCCCAGCCCAACCUACCUUCAUUCACUCAUCCUAGCUCUACCAACAUUCAUUCAUUCUAGCCCGACUAACAUUCAAUCAUUCCCGCCCUACCUACCUUCAUUCAUUCCUCUCAGCCAUACCUACCUUCAUUCAUCCCUCUCAGCCCUACCUACCUUCAUUCAUCCCAGCCCUACCUACCUUCAUUCAUUCUACCUUUACCAACCUUUAUUCCAGCCCUACCUACGUUCAUUCAAUCCAGCCUUACCAACCUUCAUACAUUCUAGCUCUACCAACCCCCAUUUAUCCUAGCCUUACCGACCUCCAUUCAUCCAAUACUUCCCUACCUUCAUUCAUCCCAUUCUUCAACCUUCAUUCAUCCCAUCCUUCCCAACCUUCACUCAUCCUAAUCUUCACUCGCCUUUAUUCCUGCUAUUCUACAUUCAACGAAACCUCCAUUCCUGCUGUUCUCCAUUUAACGAUACCUCCAAAACUGCUAUUCUUUAUUCAAAGAAACCUCCAUUCCUGCUAUUCUCCAUUCAACAAAACCACCAUUCCUGCUAUGUUCCAUUUAACGAAAUCUCCAUUCCUCCUAUUCUUCAGUCAAUGUAACCUCUAUUCCUCCUAUUCCAUUCAAAGAAAAUUAAAAUUUAGGCCUUAUAAGCUUUGGAGAUGAGGUUUUCCCUCUUGUGUUUAAAAUCAUAAAAUUAAACUAUUUAUAUUGAAAUAAACAUUGGAAAUGUU